UACGAAGGGUGCAAGCGUUAAUCGGAAUUACUGGGCGUAAAGGGUGCGUAGGCGGUUGUUUAAGUCUGGCGUGAAAUCCCCGGGCUCAACCUGGGAAUGGCGAUGGAUACUGGACAGCUAGAGUGUGUCAGAGGAUGGUGGAAUUCCCGGUGUAGCGGUGAAAUGCGUAGAGAUCGGGAGGAACAUCAGUGGCGAAGGCGGCCAUCUGGGACAACACUGACGCUGAAGCACGAAAGCGUGGGGAGCAAACAGG
rnacentral:rRNA from 1 species